rnacentral:rRNA from 1 species
UACAGAGGUCUCAAGCGUUGUUCGGAUUCAUUGGGCGUAAAGGGCGCGUAGGCUGCGGGGCAAGUCGGGUGUGAAAUCUCAGAGCUCAACUCUGAAACUGCACUCGAUACUGCUUUGCUCGAGGACUGGAGAGGAGAUUGGAAUUCACGGUGUAGCAGUGAAAUGCGUAGAUAUCGUGAGGAAGACCAGUGGCGAAGGCGGAUCUCUGGACAGUUCCUGACGCUGAGGCGCGAAAGGCCAGGGGGAGCAAAACGGGG